rnacentral:rRNA from 1 species
GAUGAACGCUGGCGGCGUGCCUAAUACAUGCAAGUCGAGCGAACAGACGAGGAGCUUGCUCCUUUGACGUUAGCGGCGGACGGGUGGGUAACACGUAGGUAACCUACCUAUAAGACUGGGAUAACUUCGGGAGACCGGAGCUAAUACCGGAUAAUAUUUCGAACCGCAUGGUUCGAUAGUGAAAGAUGGCUUUGCUAUCACUUAUAGAUGGACCUGCGCCGUAUUAGCUAGUUGGUAAGGUAACGGCUUACCAAGGCAACGAUACGUAGCCGACCUGAGAGGGUGAUCGGCCACACUGGAACUGAGACACGGUCCAGACUCCUACGGGAGGCAGCAGUAGGGAAUCUUCCGCAAUGGGCGAAAGCCUGACGGAGCAACGCCGCGUGAGUGAUGAAGGUCUUCGGAUCGUAAAACUCUGUUAUUAGGGAAGAACAAACGUGUAAGUAACUGUGCACGUCUUGACGGUACCUAAUCAGAAAGCCACGGCUAACUACGUG